rnacentral:rRNA from 1 species
CAGAGGUCCCAAGCGUUGUUCGGAUUCACUGGGCGUAAAGGGUGCGUAGGCGGUCGGGUAAGUCUGAUGUGAAAUCUCUGGGCUCAACCCAGAAAUGGCAUUGGAUACUAUUCGGCUUGAGGUCUGGAGGGGGGACUGGAAUUCUCGGUGUAGCAGUGGAAUGCGUAGAUAUCGAGAGGAACACCAGUGGCGAAGGCGAGUCCCUGGACAGGUCCUGACGCUGAGGCACGAAAGCUAGGGGAGCAAACAGGAUUAGAUACCCUGGUAGUCCUAGCCGUAAACGGUGCUUAUUUGCUGUAAAAGGAAUCGACCCCUUUUGUGGCGUAGCAAACGCGUUAAAUAAGCCGCCUGGGAAGUACGGUCGCAAGAUUA